UUUAUCUAGUUAGUUAGUGACCAAGAGAUACAUGAUUAAUAUUAAUUGAAUUAAAAACAAAAUAACUCUACUUAAAAAUAAUUCUCUCCACCAUUAGAUUUACAUCUAAAAGUGAUUGACCAUAAAUUUCAUUGUCACGAACCUCGUUGUUAUACAUAUAUGAACUUUUCUUACCAACACGUAGCUUUUAGUUUUUUAGCUAGGGGCUAGUGAGGCACACUACUGAUCUCGAUGUGACCCGUUAACCGAUAAACUUCAAGAAAAAGAAAAACUAAAUGAUGAGAAUUCUAAACGGGUUUGAAAAAUGAGAGAGUUGUUUGCAGGCUUAGCAGGUUCCAACGAGUCCUUAUUAAUGAGAACACGCAAAUCCGUUAAGUCUGUUAAGUUAAAGGGUUCUUGACGUGACGACCUGUUAACAACUUGCACGAGUUCGGGCUGUUGCCGGCCUAACAUAUGUUUCUAUCAUAGAGGACUCCCUUAGGGAUGGCAAUGGGUAGGGUAGGGUACGGGGAUCAAAAUACCGUACCCAUACCUUUUUACAUUUCUCAUCCCCGUAUCCAUCCCCAUAUCCGUAAUUAGAUAAUAGGGAUUCCCCGUACCCAUACCCUUUGGGGAUUACGUUUUCAUACCCGUACCCGUACCCGUACCCGUUAACAAUUAUGUAUUAAAUUAAUUUUUUUUUUAAAUACGAAAUACAAUUAUAUAAAAGUAUGAAAUUAAAAUUAAAUAGCAAAAUAAAUAAGUUUCAUGCUUCAAUCAAAUAAAAAUAAAUACAAGUCUUGGUCAAAACAGAACAAUACAGUUAAAUUUCAUUAAGAGAGUAAAAAUAUACAAGGUUCUAAAAAUCGCCGCCUAGGCGCCAGAAAUCACCAAUCCGUUCCGAUUAUGAGGUAAUCGGUUGAGCUGGGCGUCACCAAGGAAAACAGCCGCCUCGGCGGCCUAAGCGGCGACUAGACGGCUGGGCGGUUUGGUUGGGCGGCCCGAUUGGGCAGUUUGGCUAGCCGUUUCCCUUUUUUCUUUUCAUUCUGUCUUAGAUUUUUUGCCGAAGUGUUCAGAUUAGGGCUCGAAGACGAUGAUGAGGUGCUUGAAAAAGUUGGGCUUUGUUAGAAAUUGCGCUCAGAUCGCAUUGGUUUUCUUGUUGAGAAGGGAUCAAAGAUCGGGAGAAGAAGAAAAAGAAUGGGAAACUAAAUUUUGUUGAACUCGUGGGCCUUUGUGUUUGUUACUCUGUUCAACUGUGCGGAGUUCAUGAAGAAAAACAUCUGGGAAUUGAGGAUGAGAGACUUGAGGUUCUGUGAAGUGUGAGGCACACGUGGUGGAGUGGUGAAGGUAGUUUUUUUUCAAGUGGUGAAGGUAGUUAUGGACUCUUGUGAUAUGUGUG
rnacentral:lncRNA from 1 species